UACGUAGGUGGCAAGCGUUAUCCGGAAUUAUUGGGCGUAAAGGGAGCGUAGGCGGUUUGAUAAGUCUGAGGUGAAAGUUCGGGGCUCAACUCCGAAUUGCCUUAGAAACUGUCAGACUAGAGUGCAGGAGAGGGCAAUGGAAUUCCAUGUGUAGCGGUAAAAUGCGUAGAUAUAUGGAGGAACACCAGUGGCGAAGGCGGUUGCCUGGCCUGUAACUGACGCUGAGGCUCGAAAGCGUGGGGAGCAAAUAGGACUAGAUACCCUAGUAGUCCACGCUGUAAACGAUGAUUACUAAGUGUUGGAGCAAUUCAGUGCUGCAGUUAACGCAAUAAGUAAUCCGCCUGGGGAGUAUGCACGCAAGUGUGAA
rnacentral:rRNA from 1 species